rnacentral:rRNA from 1 species
GUCAAACACCCUACCUCGCUGAGUAUAUCGGUUCUCGUUCGAUCACCGAAAUUAGGCAACGUCGGGCCUGUUCAGUAUUUACAUAGAUGGUGUACUACUUGGGAACACUGUGUGUUGUCG